GACGUAGGAGGCGAGCGUUGUCCGGAGUUACUGGGCGUAAAGCGUGCGUAGGUGGUUUUUUAAGUCCGUUGUGAAAGCCCUGGGCUCAACCUGGGAAUGGCAGUGGAUACUGGAAAGCUAGAGUGCGGUAGAGGGUAGUGGAAUUCCCGGUGUAGCAGUGAAAUGCGUAGAGAUCGGGAGGAACACCAGUGGCGAAGGCGGCUACCUGGACCAGCACUGACACUGAGGCACGAAAGCGUGGGUAGCAAACAGG
rnacentral:rRNA from 1 species